ACGCCGUUGGUGAAAUGGUUAUCAUGCUUGCCUUCCAUGUUUACUUACCUAAGCUAAUACAGAGAGCAAGCGGCAAGGGUUCGAUUCCCUUACGGCGUA
rnacentral:tRNA from 1 species